UAGGGAAUCUUCCGCAAUGGACGCAAGUCUGACGGAGCAACGCCGCGUGUGUGAAGAAGGAUUUCGGUUCGUAAAACUCUGUUGUUAGAGAAGAACAGCGCAUAGAGUAACUGUUAUGCGUGUGACGGUAUCUAACCAGAAAGCCACGGCUAACUACGUGCCAGCAGCCGCGGUAAUACGUAGGUGGCAAGCGUUGUCCGGAUUUAUUGGGCGUAAAGCGAGCGCAGGCGGUCAAUUAAGUCUGAUGUGAAAGCCCACGGCUCAACCGGGGAGGGUCAUUGGAGACUGGUUGACUUGAGUGCAGAAGAGGAGAGUGGAAUUCCAUGUGUAGCGGUGAAAUGCGUAGAUAUAUGGAGGAACACCAGUGGCGAAGGCGUCUCUCUGGUCUGUAACUGACGCUGAGGCUCGAAAGCGUGGGGAGCGAACAGG
rnacentral:rRNA from 1 species